UACGUAGGGGGCAAGCGUUGUCCGGAUUUAUUGGGCGUAAAGAGCGUGUAGGCGGCCAGGUAGGUCUGCUGUGAAAACUCGAGGCUUAACCUCGAGCUGUCGGCGGAAACCACUUGGCUAGAGUCCGGAAGAGGAGAGUGGAAUUCCUGGUGUAGCGGUGAAAUGCGCAGAUAUCAGGAAGAACACCUAUGGCGAAGGCAGCUCUCUGGGACGGUACUGACGCUGAGACGCGAAAGCGUGGGGAGCGAACAGG
rnacentral:rRNA from 1 species